GUCAAGAAAUAAGAAGAUUGUUAGUGUUAUUAGUGUUCUUGUUUUGCUAAAUUUUGUAUAUUGUUAUCAAGAAAUGAGAAGAUUGAUAGUUUUAUUAGUGUUCUUGUUUUGCUAAAUUUUGUAUAUUGUUAUCAAGAAAUGAGAAGGUUGAUAAUGUUAUUAGUGUUCUUGUUUUGCUAAUUUUUGUAUAUUGUCAUCAAGAAAUGAGAAGAUUGAUAGUGUUAUUAGUGUUCUUGUUAUCAAGAAACAUUUGACGCUGACCCUUUACCAAAAUCUCCCAAAAAUGAAAGGCAUUGCCAUGGGGAAUUCUCCAUGGCUUCUGUUAGUCAAAUAAGGAUAUGGAAGAUAACAACUAGGUCGAUGUAAGCCAUGACGCACUGUUCGUUGGAAUUUAUGAUGGCUUCAAAGGCCACACCGCUGCUUCCUAAAUCCGUACGCACAUCUUUAGGACUCUAUUACGUGAGUUAUUUUUUUGCUUCUUUUUUCUUAGCAUACUUACCUGUAUAUUCUUAUCAAGAAAUGAGAAGAUUGAUAGUGUUGUUAGAGUUCUUGUUUUGCUAAGUUUUGUAUAUUGUUAUAAAGAAAUGAGAAGAUUGAUAGUGUUAUUAGUGUUCUUGUUUUGCUAAAUUUUGUAUAUUGUUAUCAAGAAAUGAGAAGAUCGAUAGUGAUAUUAGUGUUCUUGUUUUGCUAAAUUUUGUAUAUUGCUAUAAAAAAUUUGAAGAUCGAUAGUGUUAUUAGUGUUCUUGUUUUGCUAAAUUUUGUAUAUUGUUAUCAAGAAAUGAAAAGAUUGA
rnacentral:lncRNA from 1 species